AUUGAACGCUGGCGGCAGGCCUAACACAUGCAAGUCGAGCGCGCGGCGGACGGGUGAGAAAUGUAUGGGAAACUGCCUGAUGGAGGGGGAUAACAACUGGAAACGGUAGCUAAUACCGCAUACCAUCAGAUGUGCGCAGAUGGGAUUAGCUAGUAGGUGGGGUAACGGCUCACCCAGGCGCCGAUCCCUAGCUGGUCUGAGAGGAGGACCAGCCACACUGGAACUGAGACACGGUCCAGACUCCUACGGGAGGCAGCAGUGGGGAAUAUUGGACAAUGGGCGCAAGCCUGAUGCAGCCAUGCCGCGUGUAUGAAGAAGGCCUUCGGGUUGUAAAGUACUUUCAGCGGGGAGGCGUUACCCGCAGAAGAAGCACCGGCUAACUCCGUGCCAGCAGCCGCGGUAAUAC
rnacentral:rRNA from 1 species